ACCUGGACCCAUACGGUCACCGAAGUUAAGCAACGUCGAGCCUGGUUAGUAUCUAUAUGGGUUACAGUUUGGGAAUACAAGGUGCUGUAAG